CAAGUGUUAUGCUGCUAAUCUUAUGUAGCUUCGUUUCUGAAUUUAUAUUGUUUGUGUGAUUGUUUGAGACUGCAAAAAGCUUAAGCUUAUAUCUACUGGUGAGUUUGAAGAUGUAACUAGUUUUCCAUUUCAUGCAGGUGUGUCUUACAAUUUCGAAAAGACUGAUAAUGGUAUUUUCCGGUUAAAGCUCACUGCAAAUGC